AUACUUAGAAUUUUAUGUAAUAGAAGGCAUAAAUGUUAUGUUGAGAGUAUCACAGAAGAGAAAAAAUGUUGAUUUAAUGGAACUGUUUUGUAGUUUGAAAUAAUUCGGUGAUGCAUUUACCUAUUUCUCAGCUUUUGCUGUUGUCAGGGCAAGGUGUUUCUGUGUUCUCAGGUUGUUCCAUGUUGUACAUGCAUGCCAAAUGCCAAUGGCUCCACGAUCCCUGUGGGCCUCCAUCCAGCCUGGGUUUCCUUCAUGCGUCCCAAGGAACCUGUUCUGCACUAAGGGGAAGGACCCGUCCUUUGCCCAGAAAUCAAAACAGGACCUCAGAAGUGUUGGUAAAGGAGUGAACUUGGAAGAAAAGGCAAUCUCUGACAUGAGAAGAAGCUGUGGAUGUAACCUCAGACUGGGAACUUCCAAGGACUGUCCUCUGUUUUUGUCAACCUGAAGACUAAAAGACCUUCAGUCUAGAAGAAUGAAAAAGAAAUUGCCAAGUGAAUAUUCAAGGGAAAGGUGGUGUUUUUAAAGCUGCCAAUGCCACCAUUUUCUCCAGCGGAAAACCAAUUUUACACUCAAUUUCAGAAAUAAUUAUGCCAGCUGUUUUGGAUUGGACUUGAUCUCUUACCUUUUCUGAAAAGCGUUCUCAGGAAAUUUCAGCAUCAGAAACGUCUGUACCAAGCUGACGAAAUUGACUGCGCUUUGCAGAAAUGGUUUUCCUGUACAAUAUGUUUAGAAUAGUUCCCCAAUCCUAUUUAUAAUUUCACUUUCUAGCAGUGAAGAAUAUAAACAGUCUGAUGAAGGUUUUAAAAACACGAACUCAUACCUUGUAUGGCAAAAAAAAGGGUAAUAUCUAAAACCUAUGGAGAAAGAAGCAAGGCUCUAAAUGGACUGGACCGCUGGGCAGGCCAGCGCGCUGUGCCCCACUGGUGCCUGAAGCCUUGAUUUGCACCACGAUAAGAGUUACAGCCAGAUUUUAAUAUUAGAUAGAUCCUCCUAGUUCUUGUUGCAGAUACAACGGAAAAGAGUUCUUUUCUGGAUCUCAGUGCACAGAACUAUUUUCCUGAACGCAUUGUUCUUUGUUUUUGGAAAGGUGUUAAAAAUUAUUCCAAAUUAGCUGCUCUAGAGGAAAGAAGAGUAACUCCAGCCAUGGGUUCAGACAUAGAUGCAGUGUGGAGAGCCUGAGAGAGGUGGGAAAGGACUGUGCAGCUCACUCGUAUGAUCCCAGUGCUUAAACAUUGCCGUAAAUACUGCCGAUGGAGCCUGUGAGAGACGGUCUUCCACUUUCCUGUAGCAAAUCCCUGUUUUAGCAACUGUAGGCAAAAGGGUCAAAUAUUUAACUUGGUAUUAAACUUAGCAAAAUAAACUCAGUUUCUACCGCA
rnacentral:lncRNA from 1 species